UUGAAAGAUGAGGAGGGACAGAGC
rnacentral:piRNA from 1 species